rnacentral:RNase_P_RNA from 1 species
AAAGCAGGCCAGGAUGGUCGCUCCGAUGAAUUUAUCGUCGGAGAGGAAAGUCCGAGCUCCAAAGGGUAGUGCAUCCAGGUAAUGCUGGAAGCGUCGGUCGGGCACAGGCCCCCCGGCGGAUGAAAAGAGCCACAGUGACGAUGCCGGUCGUUUUAACGGCCGGAGUGAAACGGGCAAUCUCUGCACGGAGCAAGGCCAAAUAAGAGGAGAGUUCCUGAUAUAUGUCAUCAGGGGCGGGUAAGUUUAAACGCCCCUGGCCCUGACGAAAUAUGUCAGGACACGGCGUGAUCCGCGCCGCUUGGAUCCUCGGGUAGGCCGCAAGAGUCCUUCCGGCAACGGAGGGAGUCAGUCAGAUGGCCAUCUCUUGUUGAUGUAUUGCCGGGUUAUACCGGUGGUCUUCAAGGAGAUACAGAACUCGGCUUAUGGCCUGCUUUUCAU